rnacentral:rRNA from 1 species
GACGAACGCUGGCGGCGUGCUUAACACAUGCAAGUCGAACGGAAAGGCCCUGCUUUUGUGGGGUGCUCGAGUGGCGAACGGGUGAGUAACACGUGAGUAACCUGCCCUUGACUUUGGGAGAACUUCAGGAAACUGGGGCUAAUACCGGAUAGGAGCUCCUGCUGCAUGGUGGGGGUUGGAAAGUUUCGGCGGUUGGGGAUGGACUCGCGGCUUAUCAGCUUGUUGGUGGGGUAGUGGCUUACCAAGGCUUUGACGGGUAGCCGGCCUGAGAGGGUGACCGGCCACAUUGGGACUGAGAUACGGCCCAGACUCCUACGGGAGGCAGCAGUGGGGAAUAUUGCACAAUGGGAGGAAGCCUGAUGCAGCAACGCCGCGUGCGGGAUGACGGCCUUCGGGUUGUAAACCGCUUUCGCCUGUGACGAAGCGUGAGUGACGGUAAUGGGUAAAGAAGCACCGGCUAACUACGUG